ACGCUCGACACCUAGCAGCAGUGAGGAAUAUUGGUCAAUGGGCGCUAGCCUGAACCAGCCAAGUAGCGUGAAGGAUGAAGGCUCUAUGGGUCGUAAACUUCUUUUAUAUAAGAAUAAAGUGCAGUAUGUAUACUGUUUUGUAUGUAUUAUAUGAAUAAGGAUCGGCUAACUCCGUGCCAGCAGCCACGGUAAUCUGAGCGGGCUGGCAAGGC
rnacentral:rRNA from 1 species